rnacentral:rRNA from 1 species
GGGCACCCUGAGAUGGGGAGCCUGCGGCUUAAUUUGACUCAACAACCUGAAAACUUACCCAUCUGUGGGGCUGCGAGGAUUGGGUAAUUACCUCCUCUUUCUUGAUUAACUGGGUGGUGGUGCAUGAAUAUGCCUUCGCCGGUGUGCUGAUUUUCCUGGUGGGCUUUCACCAUGAACCCACCUAUUGCCAGCUCAGUACCUUGUACCUUCCCGCCUAUUCACCACUCCGCCUUCUUAGAGGGACAGGCGGCGACUCAGGCGCACGAAACAUUGGGAUAAAAAGUCUGUGGUUCUGUUACAUGCUCGGGGCCGGGUUGCCCUACCCUGAAGUGAUCCACGUGCAUAAUCAACCCUGCUUUGAAGGCUUCGGGUAACCCGAGGAACCUUCUGCUCUUGAUGGAUCCUUACAUUGUAAUUAUUGCCCGUGAACGAGGAAUUCCUGGACACCGUGAGACCACCCGCUCGUUCAGAUAAGACCGCUGUGAUGUGAACACACCGCCCGAGCGCUACUACCGAUUG